UUAGGUACUUGACAGGAAGUGGUGUUGAUGCCUGCAACUCUUUUGGUUCAGACUGCGGGAAAGAUCAUGAGAUCCUGGGUUUAUGGACUUGGGGCCAAAGGUCUAUGAUUCUUACUGUUUCAUUCCCCUCUAAUUAUGAUCUCGGUCAAGAUCUAGAUCGCCAGUUCGUUCUGUAAGUUCUUGUACUUGUUAUUUCAUCUAUUCUUUCACUAAAAGAAGAGCAAAGAGAACCAAAUCUGCAAUUCAGUGAUAAUAUCAGCUCCUGGAUAAGUCUUCACAGCUGAAGUUGAGGCGGUGUACCUUGCAGGCUUAUUAUGGAGCUGUUCAGAGAUCGCCUUGAGAUCCGGAAGCUCAUCCCAAUAGUUUGGUAGUAUUUCUCCUCUUGAUUUUAGUUAUGUUAAUUGUUUUUCUUAACCUCUAAGCAGUAUAAUUUUAUAUUAUGCAUGGACUUCUAAUUUUCGAUUUGACUAAGGUAUCUGCUUACUAGUGUUUCAUAUGAGGUUCUGAUUAUCAAUUGUGACUUCCAGGUGACAUCUAUAUGAGCUACUGUUAACUUUGGGAUCUGCGGAGGUGCCUUUUCCAGUUGUUUUUGUGAACCGGGCAGCAUGUAAUAGUUUGUAAUGGAACUUGGAACUUGAUGUAGCACUAUAGACGAUUAAAUGUGGAUGCUUGUGAAGAUAUUGUAUCGUAUUAUAAAUCUAUCUUUACUGUA